rnacentral:rRNA from 1 species
AUGAUCAGAAAGUUCUGGUGGGGGUCUAAAGAUGGCAAGCGAAAGCCACAUUGGGUAUCUUAGAAAACAAUGACACAACCUAAAGGUAUGGGAGGAUUAGGUUUCAAAGAUUUUGAGCUCUUUAAUCUAGCAAUGCUAGCCCGCCAGGCAUGGCGAUUAUUGCAGAAUCCAGGGUCCCUAAGUGGCUGAAUUCUGAAAGUUGUUUACUUCCCAAACACCACAAUUCUGGAAGCUGUUUUGUGAAAUCAUCCAAGCCAAAUCUAGAGGGCUAUGGUAGAGGGAAGGGACACUCUGAAACUGGGUUUAAUCAAACGAAUUGGCAAUGGAACUACAACGAACAUAUGGAACGAUAAUUGGCUGCCACGGGAUGAGAUGUUAUGCCCGUACGGUUGUAUCUCACAUAACCGGCCCAAUCUAGUGUCCGAGUUGAUUGAUCCAAUGUCCACAACAUGGAUCAGACAACGAGUGGAGGAGGUCUUUAUGCCAAUGGAUGUUUCGGUCAUUGUCAAGAUCCCCCUAUGCACAAGAAAUAUCUCAGAUUUUUGGAGUUGGAAUUUCGAAAAGAAUGGCAAUUUCUUGGUGAAGUCAGCUUAUAGAAUGCUUGUUUCAACCAGGCAAAGGAGGGAGGCAUGGCUUGAUGGCACCGCUGGCUCGUCCCGGGCGAACAUGGAAGAGAAGCCGUGGAAACCCUUUGGAAUACUAAGGUUCUAG